rnacentral:rRNA from 1 species
AAAUUCUUAACGGCCGCGGCACUAAAACCGUGCAAAGGUAGCACAAUCACUUGUCCCUUAAAUGAGGACCCGUAUGAAAGGCAACAUGAGAGAAGACCUGUCUCCUAAGGCCAGCCAGUGAAAUUGAACUACCAGUACAAAAGCUGGUAUUUACAAGCAAGACAAAAAGACCCUAUGGAACUUUAACAAAUUAUUUAUAUAACAUAAAUUAUAGUUUCAGUUGGGACAACUUUAGAGAAAAUUAACCUCUUAAUAAUACACAGACCAACAAGUCUAACCUACCCGACCC